CGAAGCAAAAAUAAAAGAGGAAGAGAAAGAUUCCGACGUCGGCGGCAACUGACGCCGGAAGAAAGAGAAAAUAAACUUUUGGUUUCUAGAGAGAGGUGAGAGAGGUUUUUGUAACUUCUCUCUAUUAAAGCGAAAUUAAGAAACUAUCUUUCGAGAUUUGAUUGUCGCGGAAAGGCGUUAUAAAAUCUUAUAGACUUUUGAAUCCCAGACUAUGUAAUUUAUUUCAGAUUAUUGGAUGCAAAGCUUAUUGGAAGUUCCAUAGUACUGCAGGCAGAACUGUUCGUUGUGGUCGUUUGCUGUGGAGAGAGCAUGUCCAUGAGGAUGUCGUACAUGCAGAACCGUUUGUCGAUCGAAGUGUUUCGGGGAAAGCUUCAUCGUGGAAUCCUUAUCCGUGGAGUUGUUCAUCAAUAUCACAUAUGUUGCAAGUAGUUGAUCAUCGUAUGUAACCGACUUAGAGAUUAUAUGAUGAUGUAAUGUGUUAC
rnacentral:lncRNA from 1 species